rnacentral:rRNA from 1 species
GAUGAACGCUAGCGAUAGGCUUAACACAUGCAAGUCGAGGGGCAGCAUGAUCUUAGCUUGCUAAGGUCGAUGGCGACCGGCGCACGGGUGCGUAACGCGUAUGCAACUUGCCUUACAGAGGGGGAUAACCCGUUGAAAGACGGACUAAAACCGCAUACACUUGUAUUAUUGCAUGAUAUUACAAGGAAAUAUUUAUAGCUGUAAGAUAGGCAUGCGUCCCAUUAGCUAGUUGGUGAGGUGACGGCUCACCGAGGCAACGAUGGGUAGGGGAACUGAGAGGUUUAUCCCCCACACUGGUACUGAGACACGGACCAGACUCCUACGGGAGGCAGCAGUGAGGAAUAUUGGUCAAUGGGCGAGAGCCUGAACCAGCCAAGUCGCGUGAAGGAAGACAGUCCUAAGGAUUGUAAACUUCUUUUAUACGGGAAUAACGGGCGAUACGAGUAUUGCAUUGAAUGUACCGUAAGAAUAAGCAUCGGCUAACUCCGUGCCAGCAGCCGCGGUAAUACGGAGGAUGCGAGCGUUAUCCGGAUUUAUUGGGUUUAAAGGGUGCGUAGGUUGUUCGGUAAGUCAGCGGUGAAACCUGAGCGCUCAACGUUCAGCCUGCCGUUGAAACUGCCGGGCUUGAGUUCAGUGGCGGCAGGCGGAAUUCGUGGUGUAGCGGUGAAAUGCAUAGAUAUCACGAGGAACUCCGAUUGCGAAGGCAGCUUGCCAUACUGCGACUGACACUGAAGCACGAAGGCGUGGGUAUCAAACAGGAUUAGAUACCCUGGUAGUCCACGCAGUAGACGAUGAUUACUAGGAGUUUGCGAUAUACCGUCAAGCUUCCACAGCGAAAGCGUUAAGUAAUCCACCUGGGGAGUACGCCGGCAACGGUGAAACUCAAAGGAAUUGACGGGGGCCCGCACAAGCGGAGGAACGUGUGGUUAAUUCGAUGAUACGCGAGGAACCUUACCCGGGAUUGAAAUGUACAUGACGGAUGGUG